CGGGGUGAGUAAUGUCUGGGAAACUGCCUGAUGAGGGGGAGUAACUACUGGAAACGGUAGCUAAUACCGCAUAACGUCGCAAGACCAAAGUGGGGGACCUUCGGGCCUCAUGCCAUAAGAUGUGCCCAGAUGGGAUUAGCUAGUAGGUGGGGUAACGGCUCACCUAGGCGACGAUCCCUAGCUGGUCUGAGAGGAUGACCAGCCACACUGGAACUGAGACACGGUCCAG
rnacentral:rRNA from 1 species